AUACGUAGGGAGCGAGCGUUGUCCGGAAUUACUGGGUGUAAAGGGAGCGUAGGCGGGGGUGCAAGUCAGAUGUGAAAUACAUGGGCUCAACCCAUGGGCUGCAUUUGAAACUGCAUUUCUUGAGUGAAGUAGAGGUAAGCGGAAUUCUUGGCGUAGCGGUGAAAUGCGUAGAUAUCAGGAGGAACACCGGUGGCGAAGGCGGCUUACUGGGCUUUUACUGACGCUGAGGCUUGAAAGCGUGGGGAGCAAACAGGAUUAGAUACCCUGGUAGUCCACGCUGUAAACGAUGAUUACUAGGUGUGGGGGGACUGACCCCUUCCGUGCCGCAGUUAACACAAUAAGUAAUCCACCUGGGGAGUACGGCCGCAAGGUUGAAACUCAAAUGAAUUGACGGGG
rnacentral:rRNA from 1 species